rnacentral:lncRNA from 1 species
CACAUGCAGAAAGUACAAUACCAAGGUACAGUUUGAUGUCUUGUGUUCACAUCUUGCUGAUACAACAUGAAGGUGAAUGCGAUCACUUCUUAUACACAUAUCUGCUAGAACCAGGAAUUAACCGUACACAGAACACAAAAACAAACUCAUCUGACACAAUUAAGGAAGGACGGGCUGUGUGUGAAGGAAUGGCAGCAGCAGCUUGCGUGACCUUGGUUGCCCAAAGGAAUGGAGUGUUUCACAUGGAAAACACUUGCUGAUAGCACAUUAAGUACCCCCACCGAUUGUUGUCAACAAAACACACUACCUCUACCUAGAUGGGGCAUUCGCAACAACAAAGACGAAAUAGUUCUACUCAGCAGCAAAUUAAACCGGCAAAGUGCUGGGGAUUAUGCACUGCAGACUGUAGGGAUGCAUGGCUAUCAAAAUGUAACAAUGACCUUGGCCCUGGGAGAUACCCUCGGCAGAGCUAAUAGCUUCGCAAGAACCCUGCUGCAGUCUGUUUCGCCCUCCCAUUCUAUCUCCAAUUCUUCCAAAGCUGGUGCCCAGCUCAGUAGCUUUGCCACGAAAUCAACUUCAUAGUCAAGACCCGCAAAACCUUCCAUACUGGCCGUUACGAGAUGGUCCAUUUGCAAUUGCACGGUAAGCUCUUGAAUGCUCACCUGAUCCUGAUACCAUGGGCCCGGAAAGCGACUCUGCAUUUUCUUUUCACAACUCAUUAGGUGCCGUGAAUACAAGAAUGAACAUGGGUCGGAUGGAGAGGAUUGACUGGAGGCAUACGUACCCGCAUGUUAAGCCUCUUUAGGUUAGGGGCAUUCUGAAACAAUGAACAAGCGGCCAAGACUUGCCUCUGGUCCCAAAUCGUAAGAUAAAUAUGCUCCAAGCGAGUAAACACGGCAGGGAGCUUCAUAGGUAUGCACCCUUUUGAUAGAUGCUGCAACAAGAAAAGAAAAAGAAAAGAAAUAGCAACACAGAUUAGUCAGAAAUCAUAAGACAGAAGAAGGGCAUAGUAAUCUUGGAGCUAGCAAUAGCCCACCUUCAGGAAAAAGCCAAAAAAUGCAAGUUGUUUUAUGUCACUUACGCUUCCCAAUGACUUCUUGACAUAGUUUUUCGUGUCAUGAGCAAUUGGAACAGAUUGAUAUGCUUUAGCUUUGGGAUUAAGAGUGAGAACGGCCCAUUCUAGAUUAGGGGCAUCCAAAUUAAUGUCUUCAAAGCCCCCAACAACUUCAAGAUAUUCCAGUUUAGGAGCUUGAAUGUUUAGACACCUGAUGCCCUCAAAACGAACUAAUCUCAAAUCAGUCAGUACGGGGCAGAACGAGAUCAGAUUUUGGAUGUCCAUGUCCGUGGAGGAGAAAAGUUUCAGGCUGAGGUGAGUUAGUCUCUUGAAACCUUGGAAUACCCGGGGCAACAAGAUGGUGCAGUUUUCCAUGUGCAGAAUCUUCAAAUUGCCGAUAGAAAAUAGGCAUGAGGGAAUCCUAUACUCCGGCAAUGAGUUCAACUUGAUUAUAAUUGAUCUUGGUGAUCUCCUUGACAGCAUGAGCAUCCACCUAGCAAACUCAUAAUGGUAACUUUUGUUACCUGAUAUAUUAAACUCUUCUAUGGUUCCCUUGUGGAGUGCUAGCACCAUAUCGACCAACGUAACAAACUUGGUUUGUGCAAGCUUUCCAUCUUGCAGAAAUACUCUUGGCAUAUCAGUCCAUGCAUUCCUCCAAGUACUUGAUAAGAUGCUAGUCCUAACCGCUUCUUCGACAAGCAAACGAGAAAGGAUAUCACCCUUUAUCUCUGGAGGUAGACUGCUUACUCUGUCUGAACUCACAACAGAUGUAGCUUCCGCUCCGGCCUUUUCACAGGUACUCAUUGCUUCAGAAUCCAGAUUAAACUGUCCUAGCAUUUCCAGGGAGCCUAAAUUAGCGUGGAUUCUACCACAUAACACUUAAAAUACGAAACAUGGGAGACCUAAAUGGUGCACUAAGUAAGUUGCUUGUUCAUAGCAAAACGAAAAGGAAGCAACAACCGAGAGAUGGCAUUUGAGCGAAACAAGUCCAGUAUGUUUCUGCUAAUAGAACUGAACUCGACUAUUGCGUCAAUAAGCUGAAAAACUUGAUUAUACUUGUGUUAAAAGAGCAAACAUGUGGCAUGCUGCAUUCUGAAAGGGGUCAUUUGAAGAAGAUGUGAUUAUUUUUUUGAAAACCUUGUAUCGCAAAAUAUCCAAUGGACGAACAAUGUAGGGUAUAUAAUUGAUAUGCUGUCAACGUGGGCAAAUGAUGAAAUGCAACUCUACUUCAGGACAGAGUCAAUUUACCCCAGAACAGGACCUCCUUUAUUAACAUAGAUAGAUGUGGACUCGCACUCAAAUUAUUCAGGUGCAACAAUGUGUUUAGUCAAUAUAAGCAUGAUCAACAUGUACUAACUUAAUGUCAUGAUUACAUGUGGAUUAACUUAAAGCCAUGUACUAAAUUAUGUUAGUUAAUCUUUCUUAGCGAAUGAAAUAUGCUAGGAAAAUAAUAAUUCUGGGGAAAUUAGCACGGCAGAGCUAGAGAAUUCAACAUAAAUAACAGGGUACUAAACAAGCAUGUGAACAACUGACUCAGUAAUUCAUGAAUCCACCGCAACAAGUCUCGAAUUUCAAUCGAACUGGAAGUGGAAGCAAAACGAACCUACUAGUACUAAGUGUCUCAGUUGCUGCAGGGGCGCCGAAGAACGGGGGGAGGCGACGCCGCUUGCGCGCGGGCGCUGCCGCCAGACGGAGCGCAUAGAUCAGAGGGUCGAGGAAUGGAAGCAGGACGCCGGAUGCCCACGCCGCCGCGCCGCCGGCCAACGCGGCCGUCCGGUGUCUAGGGUUCGAAUUUGCUGGUUGCGCUUGCGCCUGCGACUCUGCGCUGCGGCGAUGGGGAAUUUCAGAAUUGGGCUUGAGGAGAGACUGGGCCAUAUCGGAGUAGGUAGGGAAGGAUGGGCCAGUUCUGGGCUGAAUGCUUAGAUAGUCUGCCAUACUUUUUUUUUUGGUUUCUCAAAAUAUACCCCUCAAAAAAAAGAUACACAGAUUUUUUGGGCAAUCCCUAAAAAAUUAUAUAUUUUGGGUGCAAAAACAAUGUGUAUUCUUUUUUUAGUUGGAAGUGUUGCAUUUAUUCAGAGUCCGAGUUUAAAGCAUCCAUAAUACAAGAUAUGAAACCAUGAUUUGCAUAGUUCAUUUGUCCAACCUUCCUUAGCUAAUAAGUGAGAGACGCUAUUAGCCGAGCGUCUCACCCACGAGACCCAAUACUCCUCUAUGGUAAGCAGCACACCUUUCACCUCCUCUACAAGUGCUCCAUAUAUGGAGAGAUCCCGUUCUUUUGCCUUGAGUUUGUUCACAAUCAUUUGAGAGUCUCAUUCUGGCACCAGCUUUUUCACUCAUUAUCUAUUGCAACGCAGCCACCCUGCAAACACGUCAAUAGCUUCAUCAACUCAGGGUCCAAAGCAAAAGUGAAAGAACUGUUGGAAAUAUGCCCUAAAGCCAAUAAUAAAUGGUUAUUAUUAUAUUUCUUUGUUCAUGAUAAUUGUCUAUUGUUCAUGCUAUAAUUGUAUUAUCCGGAAAUCGUAAUACAUGUGUCAAUACAUAGACCAUAACGUGUCCCUAGUAAGCCUCUAGUUGACUAGCUCGUUGAUCAACAGAUAGUCAUGGUUUCCUGACUAUGGACAUUGGAUGUCAUUGAUAACGGGAUCACAUCAUUAGGAGAAUGAUGUGAUGGACAAGACCCAAUCCUAAGCAUAGCACAAAAGAUCGUGUAAUUCAUUUGUUAGAGCUUUUUCCAAUGUCAAGUAUAUUUUCCUUAGACCAUGAGAUCGUGCAACUCCCGGGUGCCGUAGGAGUGCUUUGGGUGUGCCAAACGUCACAACGUAACUGAGUGACUAUAAAGGUGCACUACGGGUAUCUCCGAAAGUAUCUGUUGGGUUGGCACGGAUCGAGACUGGGAUUUGUCACUCCGUAUGACGGAGAGGUAUCUCUGGGCCCACUCGGUAAUGCAUCAUCAUAAUGAGCUCAAUGUGACUAAGGAGUUAGCCACGGGAUCAUGCAUUGCGGUACGAGUAAAGAGACUUGCCGGUAACGAGAUUGAACAAGGUAUGGGAUACUGACGAUCGAACCUCGGGCAAGUAACAUACCGAUUGACAAAGGGAAUUGUAUACGGGAUUGAUUGAAUCCUCGACAUCGUGGUUCAUCCGAUGAGAUCAUCGUGGAACAUGUGGGAGCCAACAUGGGUAUCCAGAUCCCGGUGUUGGUUAUUGACCGGAGAGGCGUCUCGGUCAUGUCUGCAUGUCUCCCGAACCCGUAGGGUCUACACACUUAAGGUUCGGUGACGCUAGGGUUGUAGAGAUAUUAGUAUGCGGAAACCCGAAAGUUGUUCGGAGUCCCGGAUGAGAUCCCGGACGUCACGAGGAGUUCCGGAAUGGUCCGGAGGUGAAGAAUUAUAUAUAGGAAGUCAAGUUUCGGCCACCGGGAAAGUUUCGGGGGUUAUCGGUAUUGUACCGGGACCACCGGAAGGGUCCCGGGAGUCCAUCGGGUGGGGCCACCUGUCCCGGAGGGCCCCAUGGGCUGAAGUGGGAAGGGAACCAGCCCUUAGUGGGCUGGGGCGCCCCCCUUGGGCCUCCCCCUGCGCCUAGGGUUGGAAACCCUAGGGGUGGGGGGCGCCCCACUUGACUUGGGGGGGAAGUUUCCCCCCUGGCCGCCGCCCCCCCUUGUAGAUGGGUUCUAGGGCCGGCGCCCCUCCCCCCCAGGGGGCCUAUAUAUAGUGGGGGGGAGGGAGGGCAGCAGCACCACAGCCCCUGGCGCCUCCCUCUCCCCCUGCAACACCUCUCCCUCUCGCAGAAGCUUGGCGAAGCCCUGCCGAGAUCCCCGCUACAUCCACCACCACGCCGUCGUGCUGCUGGAUCUCCAUCAAACUCUCCUUCCCCCUUGCUGGAUCAAGAAGGAGGAGACGUCGCUGCUCCGUACGUGUGUUGAACGCGGAGGUGCCGUCCGUUCGGCACUCGGUCAUCGGUGAUUUGGAUCACGGCGAGUACGACUCCAUCAACCCCGUUCAUUAGAACGCUUCCGCUCGCGAUCUACAAGGGUAUGUAGAUGCACUCCUUUCCCCUCGUUGCUAGUAUACUCCAUAGAUGGAUCUUGGUGAUGCGUAGGAAAUUUUAAAAUUCUGCUACGAUUCCCAACAGUGGCAUCAUGAGCCAGGCCUAUGCGUAGUUACUAUGCACGAGUAGAACACAAAGCAGUUGGGGGCGUAGAUGUUGUCAAUUUUUCUUGCCGCUACUAGUCUUAUCUUGUUUCGGCGGUAUUGUGGGAUGAAGCGGCCCGAACCGACCUUACACGUACGCUUACGUGAGACAGGUUCCACCGACUGACAUGCACUAGUUGCAUAAGGUGGCUAGCGGGUGUCUGUCUCUCCCACUUUAGUCGGAACGGAUUCGAUGAAAAGGGUCCUUAUGAAGGGUAAAUAGAAAUUGGCAUAUCACGUUGUGGUUUUACGUAGGUAAGAGACGUUCUUGCUAGAAACCUAUAGAAGCCACGUAAAAACUUGCAACAACAAUUAGAGGACGUCUAACUUGUUUUUGCAGCAUGUGCCUUGUGAUGUGAUAUGGCCAGAAGAUGUGAUGAAUGAUAUAUGUGAUGUAUGAGAUUGAUCAUAUUCUUGUAAUAGGAAUCACGACUUGCAUGUCGAUGAGUAUGACAACCGGCAGGAGCCAUAGGAGUUGUCUUUAUUAUUUUGUAUGACCUGCGUGUCAUUGAAUAACGCCAUGUAAAUUACUUUACUUUAUUGCUAAACGCGUUAGCCAUAGAAGUAGAAGUAAUCGUUGGCGUGACAACUUCAUGAAGACACGAUGAUGGAGAUCAUGAUGAUGGAGAUCAUGGUGUCAUGCCGGUGACGAAGAUGAUCAUGGCGCCCCGAAGAUGGAGAUCAAAGGAGCAAAAUGAUAUUGGCCAUAUCAUGUCACUAUUUGAUUGCAUGUGAUGUUUAUCAUGUUUUGCAUCUUAUUUGCUUAGAACAACGGUAGUAAGUAAGAUGAUCCCUUAUAAUAAUUUCAAGAAAGUGUUCCCCCUAAUUGUGCACCGUUGCGAAGGUUCGUUGUUUCGAAGCACCACGUGAUGAUCGGGUGUGAUAGAUUCUAACGUUCGCAUACAACGGGUGUUGACGAGCCUAGCAUGUACAGACAUGGCCUCGGAACACACGCAAUACACUUAGGUUGACUUGACGAGCCUAGCAUGUACAGACAUGGCCUCGGAACACGGAAGACCGAAAGGUCGAGCAUGAGUCGUAUAGAAGAUACGAUCAACAUGGAUAUGUUCACCGAUCUUGACUAGUCCGUCUCACGUGAUGAUCGGACACGGCCUAGUUAACUCGGAUCAUGUUUCACUUAGAUGACUAGAGGGAUGCUAUCUGAGUGGGAGUUCAUUGAAUAAUUUGAUUAGAUGAACUUAAUUAUCAUGAACUUAGUCUAAAAUCUUUACAAUAUGUCUUGUAGAUCAAAUGGCCCACGUUGUCCUCAACUUCAACGCGUUCCUAGAGAAAACCAAGCUGAAAGAUGAUGGCAGUAACUAUACGGACUGGGUCCGGAACCUGAGGAUCAUCCUCAUAGCUGCCAAGAAAGAUUAUGUCCUAGAAGCACCGCUAGGUGAAGCACCCAUCCCAGAGAACCAAGACGUUAUGAACGCUUGGCAAUCACAUGCUGAUGAUUACUCCCUCGUUCAGUGCGGCAUGCUUUACAGCUUAGAACCGGGGCUCCAAAAGCGUUUUGAGAAGCAUGGAGCAUAUGAGAUGUUCGAAGAGUUGAAAAUGGUUUUCCAAGCUCAUGCCCGGGUCGAGAGAUAUGAAGUCUCCGACAAGUUCUUCAGCUGUAAAAUGGAGGAAAAUAGUUCUGUUAGUGAGCACAUACUCAGAAUGUCUGGGUUACACAACCGCUUGUCUCAGCUGGGAGUUAAUCUCCCGGAUGACGCGGUCGUUGACAGAAUCCUUCAGUCGCUUCCACCGAGCUACAAGAGCUUUGUGAUGAACUUCAAUAUGCAGGGGAUGGAAAAGACCAUUCCUGAGGUAUAUUCAAUGCUGAAAUCAGCGGAGGUGGAGAUCAGAAAGGAACAUCAAGUGUUGAUGGUGAAUAAAACCACUAAGUUCAAGAAAGGCAAGGGUAAGAAGAACUUCAAGAAGGACGGCAAGGGAGUUGCCGCGCCCGGUAAGCUAGUUGCCGGGAGGAAGUCAAAGAAUGGACCCAAGCCUGAGACUGAGUGCUUUUAUUGCAAGGGAAGUGGUCACUGGAAGCGGAACUGCCCCCAAAUACUUAGCGGACAAGAAGGUCGGCAACACCAAAGGUAUAUGUGAUAUACAUGUAAUUGAUGUGUACCUUACCAGUACUCGUAGUAGCUCCUGGGUAUUUGAUACCGGUGCGGUUGCUCAUAUUUGUAACUCAAAACAGGAGCUGCGGAAUAAGCGGAGACUGGCGAAGGACGAGGUGACGAUGCGCGUCGGGAAUGGUUCCAAGGUCGAUGUGAUCGCCGUCGGCACGCUGCCUCUGCAUUUACCUAUGGGAUUAGUUUUAAACCUCAAUAAUUGUUAUUUAGUGCCAGCUUUGAGCAUGAACAUUGUAUCUGGAUCUCGUUUAAUUCGAGAUGGCUACUCAUUUAAAUCCGAGAAUAAUGGUUGUUCUAUUUAUAUGAGAGAUAUGUUUUAUGGUCAUGCCCCGCUGGUCAAUGGUUUAUUCUUGAUGAAUCUCGAACGUGAUGUUACACAUAUUCAUAGUGUGAAUACCAAAAGAUGUAAAGUUGAUAACGAUAGUCCCACAUACUUGUGGCACUGCCGCCUUGGUCACAUUGGUGUCAAGCGCAUGAAGAAGCUCCAUGCAGAUGGACUUUUGGAGUCUCUUGAUUACGAAUCAUUUGACACGUGCGAACCAUGCCUCAUGGGUAAGAUGACCAAGACUCCGUUCUCCGGAACAAUGGAGCGAGCAACCAACUUAUUGGAAAUCAUACAUACCGAUGUGUGCGGUCCAAUGAGUGUUGAGGCUCGCGGAGGAUAUCGUUAUGUUCUCACUCUCACUGAUGACUUAAGUAGAUAUGGGUAUGUCUACCUAAUGAAAUACAAGUCUGAAACCUUUGAAAAGUUCAAGGAAUUUCAGAGUGAGGUUGAGAAUCAACGUGACAGGAAAAUAAAGUUCUUACGAUCAGAUCGUGGUGGAGAAUAUUUAAGUCACGAAUUUGGUACGCACUUAAAGAAAUGUGGAAUCGUUUCACAACUCACGCCGCCUGGAACACCUCAGCGAAAUGGUGUGUCCGAACGUCGUAAUCGCACUCUAUUGGAUAUGGUGCGAUCUAUGAUGUCUCUUACCGAUCUACCUCUCUUAUUUUGGGGCUAUGCUUUAGAGACUGCCGCAUUCACUUUAAAUAGGGCUCCGUCGAAAUCCGUUGAGACGACACCGUAUGAAUUAUGGUUUGGGAAGAAACCUAAGCUAUCGUUUCUAAAAGUUUGGGGAUGCGAUGCUUAUGUCAAGAAACUUCAACCUGAAAAGCUCGAACCCAAGUCGGAGAAAUGCGUCUUCAUACGAUACCCUAAGGAAACUAUUGGGUAUACCUUCUACCUCAGAUCCGAAGGCAAGAUCUUCGUUGCCAAGAACGGGUCCUUUCUGGAGAAAGAGUUACUCUCGAAGGAAGUAAGUAGGAGGAAAGUGGAACUUGAUGAGGUGAUAGUCACCCCUUCCGAACCGGAAAGUAGCGCAGCGCGGGAAGAUAUUCCUGUGGUGCCUACACCGACUGAGGAGGAAGUUAAUGAUGAUGAUCAUGAAGCUUCGGAUCAAGUUACUGCUGAACUUCGAAGGUCCACAAGGACACGUUCCGCACCAGAGUGGUACGGCAACCCUGUUCUGGAAAUCAUGUUGUUAGACAACGGUGAACCUUCGAACUAUGAAGAAGCGAUGGCGGGCCCGGAUUCCGACAAAUGGCUAGAAGCCAUGAAAUCCGAGAUAGGAUCCAUGUAUGAAAACGAAGUAUGGACUUUGACUGACUUUCCCGAUGAUCGGCGAGCCAUAAAAAAUAAAUGGAUCUUUAAGAAGAAGACAGACGCGGAUGGUAAUGUGACCAUCUAUAAGGCUCGACUUGUCGCUAAGGGUUAUCGACAAGUUCAAGGGGUUGACUACGAUGAGACUUUUUCUCACCCGUAGCAAAGCUGAAGUCCAUCCGAAUCAUGUUAGCAAUUGCCGCAUUCUAUGAUUAUGAGAUAUGGCAAAUGGACGUCAAAACGGCAUUCCUUAACGGCUUCCUUAAGGAAGAAUUAUAUAUGAUGCAGCCGGAAGGUUUUGUCGAUCCUAAGAAUGCUAACAAAGUAUGCAAGCUCCAGCGCUCAAUCUAUGGGCUGGUGCAAUCAUCUCAGAGUUGGAACAUUCGCUUUGAUGAGAUGAUCAAAGCGUUUGGGUUUACACAGACUUAUGGAGAAGCCUGUGUUUACAAGAAAGUGAGUGGGAGCUCUGUAGCAUUUCUCAUAUUAUAUGUGGAUGACAUACUAUUGAUGGGAAAUGAUAUAGAAUUCUUGAAAAGUAUAAAGGCCUACUUGAAUAAGUGUUUUUCAAUGAAGGACCUUGGAGAAGCUGCUUAUAUAUUAGGCAUCAAGAUCUAUAGAGAUAGACGGUCAAGAAUAUCCUGAAGUACCUGAAAAGGACUAAGGAUAUGUUUCUCGUAUAUGGAGGUGACGAAGAGCUCGUCGUAAAGGGUUACGUCGACGCUAGCUUCGACACAGAUCUGGAUGACUCGAAGUCACAAACCGGAUACGUGUAUAUUUUGAAUGGAGGGGCAGUAAGCUGGUGCAGUUGCAAGCAAAGCGUCGUGGCGGGAUCUACAUGUGAAGCGGAGUACAUGGCGGCCUCAGAGGCAGCACAGGAAGCAGUCUGGAUAAAGGAGUUCAUUACCGACCUAGGGGUGAUACCCAAUGCGUCGGGCCCGAUGACUCUCUUCUGUGACAACACUGGAGCUAUUGCCCUUGCCAAGGAGCCCAGGUUUCACAGGAAGACCAGGCAUAUCAAGCGUCGCUUCAACUCCAUUCGUGAAAGUGUUCAAAAUGGAGACAUAGAUAUUUGUAAAGUGCAUACGGACCUGAAUGUAGCAGAUCCAUUGACUAAACCUCUCCCUAGAGCAAAACAUGAUCAACACCAGAACGCUAUGGGUGUUCGAUUCAUCACAAUGUAACUAGAUUAUUGACUCUAGUGCAAGUGGGAGACUGUUGGAAAUAUGCCCUAGAGGCAAUAAUAAAUGGUUAUUAUUAUAUUUCUUUCUUCAUGAUAAUUGUCUAUUGUUCAUGCUAUAAUUGUAUUAUCCGGAAAUCGUAAUACAUGUGUCAAUACAUAGACCAUAACGUGUCCCUAGUAAGCCUCUAGUUGACUAGCUCGUUGAUCAACAGAUAGUCAUGGUUUCCUGACUAUGGACAUUGGAUGUCAUUGAUAACGGGAUCACAUCAUUAGGAGAAUGAUGUGAUGGACAAGACCCAAUCCUAAGCAUAGCACAAAAGAUCGUGUAGUUCGUUUGCUAGAGCUUUUUCCAAUGUCAAGUAUAUUUUCCUUAGACCAUGAGAUCGUGCAACUCCCGGGUGCCGUAGGAGUGCUUUGGGUGUGCCAAACGUCACAACGUAACUGAGUGACUAUAAAGGUGCACUACGGGUAUCUCCGAAAGUAUCUGUUGGGUUGGCACGGAUCGAGACUGGGAUUUGUCACUCCGUAUGACGGAGAGGUAUCUCUGGGCCCACUCGGUAAUGCAUCAUCAUAAUGAUCUCAAUGUGACUAAGGAGUUAGCCACGGGAUCAUGCAUUACGGUACGAGUAAAGAGACUUGUCGGUAACGAGAUUGAACAAGGUAUUGGGAUACCGACGAUCGAACCUCGGGCAAGUAACAUACCGAUUGACAAAGGGAAUUGUAUACGGGAUUGAUUGAAUCCUCGACAUCGUGGUUCAUCCGAUGAGAUCAUCGUGGAACAUGUGGGAGCCAACAUGGGUAUCCAGAUCCCGCUGUUGGUUAUUGACCGGAGAGGCGUCUCGGUCAUGUCUGCAUGUCUCCCGAACCCGUAGGGUCUACACACUUAAGGUUCGGUAACGCUAGGGUUGUAGAGAUAUUAGUAUGUGGAAACUCGAAAGUUGUUCGGAGUCCCGGAUGAGAUCCCGGACGUCACGAGGAGUUCCGGAAUGGUCCGGAGGUGAAGAAUUAUAUAUAGGAAGUCAAGUUUCGGCCACCGGGAAAGUUUCGGGGGUUAUCGGUAUUGUACCGGGACCACCGGAAGGGUCCCGGGGGUCCACCGGGUGGGGCCACCUGUCCUGGAGGGCCCCAUGGGCUGAAGUGGGAAGGGAACCAGCCCUUAGUGGGGUGGGGCGCCCCCCUGGGCCUCCCCUGCGCCUAGGGUUGGAAACCCUAGGGGUGGGGGGCGCCCCACUUGACUUGGGGGGAAGUUUCCCCCCUGGCCACCGCCCCCCCCUUGUAGAUGGGUUCCAGGGCCGGCGCCCCUCCCCCCGAGGGGGCCUAUAUAUAGUGGGGGGAGGGAGGGCAGCAGCACCACAGCCCCUGGCGCCUCCCUCUCCCCCUGCAACACCUCUCCCUCUCGCAGAAGCUUGGCGAAGCCCUGCCGAGAUCCCCGCUACAUCCACCACCACGCCGUCGUGCUGCUGGAUCUCCAUCAACCUCUCCUUCGCCCUUGCUGGAUCAAGAAGGAGGAGACGUCGCUGCUCCGUACGUGUGUUGAACGCGGAGGUGCCGUCCGUUCGGCACUCGGUCAUCGGUGAUUUGGAUCACGGCGAGUACGACUCCAUCAACCCCGUUCAUUAGAACGCUUCCGCUCGCGAUCUACAAGGGUAUGUAGAUGCACUCCUUUCCCCUCGUUGCUAGUAUACUCCAUAGAUGGAUCUUGGUGAUGCGUAGGAAAUUUUAAAAUUUUGCUACGAUUCCCAACAAGAACAGCAAGUCCCGCCAAGGAACCCCCCAUGGUGAUCUCUCAAGACCGCCCCUCCUCUUCCUCUAACUCGGGUCUUCGGCAUCUCACCAUCCGUGUUAGAUUUAAUCCAUCCCUCGUCUAGAGGGGGCCAGUGCUCCGCCAAUUGGGACCAGCAAGUUGCCUCCCUUGGUUCCUUUGUUGAUUGCCAUUCCUCGAUGAAGAACUGAACCCCCAUAGCUAUAGCUUCCGGAUCACUGAUCUUGCCGCCGCCCACCUCAUUUUUGGCGAGCCACAAUUUGAUAGAUGGCUUGAAGGAUCACCGAUUCUCCAUUUUGAUAGAUGGCUUGAAGCAUCUAGUUACAUAGCUCACACUAGGAGUAGACGGAACUCAACAGUGAGUCAAUGGGUGCACUACACAUGGCCAAAGGAGCUUUCCAAACCGUGUGUAUUCAAGUGACAAUGGGUGGUUUGGGACAUAGCAGUGCAGAGCUCUAGGGGAGGGAAGGCCAUUGGCAGCGUGAGGUUCAAUGGAGAGAGAAAAGGAGAGGGGAUUGGAUAAAUUGCGGGAUUCCUGUCGCCUUGAAUCUACUUUUUUACAAGGAGGUCACCUCAAUCUUCAAACUUCCUGACCUGACACCACCAAGGAGACAAUUUCCCCACUUUCGAAAAACAACAAAGAUAAUUUCCCUAAUUCUUUAUGUGGUGUAAUAUUGCUUAUUGCCCAUGGCUCUUGCCGCAUUUGGUGAAAGGAUGGUUAGUGAACCCCAAGUCAUACGAUCAACGAUUAGGUCAUGUUGCAGUCUGUGCACAAAGUUUGUAGCAAGUGAUUUAUCUAAGCAAGUUCAAUACUAGAAUGCAAUUUUCUCACUUAAAAAAAUGGUUACCAUGGAUUCUGGGGUAUCUAUGUCUUUCUGGCUUGAUUUUUGGUGUGAAGGUGAUACUAUGUUUUCUAUGCUCGUCACCCAGUACACUAGGGUUUUGAACUCCAAUGGUGUGUGCUUGUUUUCUCCCCUUCUUCCCUUGAUCUUCCUCUUGAACCUCGCCUUUCAUCCAUGGCUGCCUAUAAGCUAUAGUCAUUGCAUCAUUUUUUGGCUUCAAUUACCCUUAAUUAGCAGGACAAAGGUUUGAGUUUCACGACUUUAUGAUUGAUGCAAGCUAUAAUGAGGAGACCAUCACAACAUUUUCUUCUUCUUUUGACCUUUUUUCUCGAUGAUCACGAUGAAAUUCAAACAAGGCUAUUUUCCAUUUCUCACACAUCGGGCAUAUGUGAACUCAUAUAUGAACUCGAUUGGUUACCACGGUUAGAGAUAACAAGCAUUAGUAGUUGACAUAACAUUAUUCAUGUGGUCUCAGAUUCACCCACAAGGUGAGCGUCUUCAAGGCAAAUGUCCACACGAGCAUGUGGGUGCCGAUGACGGGUGGUCUAGAUGGCCAUGUGAUUUACAUUAGCAAGCUCUUUUGCAAGUCCGUUUUCGUGAAACGGUCAGGUGUUCACCCNNNNNNNNNNNNNNNNNNNNNNNNNNNNNNNNNNNNNNNNNNNNNNNNNNNNNNNNNNNNNNNNNNNNNNNNNNNNNNNNNNNNNNNNNNNNNNNNNNNNNNNNNNNNNNNNNNNNNNNNNNNNNNNNNNNNNNNNNNNNNNNNNNNNNNNNNNNNNNNNNNNNNNNNNNNNNNNNNNNNNNNNNNNNNNNNNNNNNNNNNNNNNNNNNNNNNNNNNNNNNNNNNNNNNNNNNNNNNNNNNNNNNNNNNNNNNNNNNNNNNNNNNNNNNNNNNNNNNNNNNNNNNNCGCUUUUAAAAUACCACCAUACACGAAGAAGCAUUUGACACUUUCAGUUGCCAAAUAGCAAAUUAGCCCACACCCGCACAAUUGCACAUGCAAUAUUUUCAGUUGAUUUAAAAUUCUAUAUUACAAACUUUUUUUGAAAAUAUAUUUUGAAGACUAAAAAAACACAGAAAAUAUAGUGUAAAUUACAAAAAAGAAAAUAACCAAGCCAGGAAUAGCACAAGACAACACCUUUUGAAUUUUCCCUCUCGAGCCAGGCAAUAGGGCCCAUAUCAUCUAAUUCAUGAGUAUAUAAAUGUAAAAUACAACUAGGGAGUAGAUGCCACUAAGAGCAAGCCCAUUGUAGACACUAUUUUUUUUUAAACGUUGGCAGGAGAACUGCCAAAUUCAUUGAUCAGAAGAUGAGUAACAAGAGCCCUCCAAAGGAGGAAAGCACAGCAAAAAGGCUAGUGCAAAAAGAAAAGAAAGAAAAAGAAACCCGCCGGCACCAACACAAACCCAAGCUCAGUCAACAACCGUGCACAUCAUCGGAAUCCAUCGUCGAGGUCACCAAGAUGACGCUUUCAAGGAGGAAGUGGUAUUGGUAACACCACCAUCAUCCAAUCUGGCUCCGCCAGAUCUUAGGUUUUCACCCGAAGACCUCAGCUAUGAGGUAGGAAGAGCAAUGAGCUCCACGGCGGUACCUCCAAGGAAGAAGACGACAUCCAUAGAUGUCGUUACCGUCGGCACCGACGAGGUCAAUGCAGGAUUUUCAUCCGAAGCCAAGUCUUCCGCCACCCAUCCAGGAUUCGAGACCUACCCAUCGCCACCGGGCCGGAUGAAGUCAGGCACACACUACCAGACACGGGAAUGUCGCUGCCGCACGCAGAACUAGGCAAGCACAUGCCCACCUGACCGGUCUGCCUCGCCGCUCGCAGGACCUGGGCGAACCAAGUCGGCUUCGGCCAUCCUUUGACUCCGUGCGCAGAUCUGGGCGAGAAUUCGCACCGCAGCGCUCAAGAAAGACCAGAGAAGAACCUAAACUGACCGGCCCGCACCGCAGCGCGCCGAAACAGAGCAAAAAAACCAAGCCAAAGUUAACAGGCUCGCGCCGCCGCGCGCUAGGACCGGACCUCCGCCCUGGAAUUGGUCAGCCCGACCCUCCCCAAGCACCAAUAGGAUGGACGGCACCCCUGCCCUAGGAGCUGGACGUGCACACGGUUGAAGGGCGCCACUCCUCGCCCCUGCGCCUCCAUGACGCACAAGCACAGCGCCACUCCUCGCCCCUGCGGACCAACAACACGCAACAGAGCCCCCUCCACACUCCCGCGAGCGCCCGCCAUGGCAGAUGCGCGAGGCCGCCGGGCAUCCGCUCCGGCAGAUCGGCACAGGGGAAACCCCCGCACGCCACCGCGACGCCCGCUGCUGGUUCGCGUCGUGCACGCACGCGCGCCGUCACGCUACUCAGCAGCGAAGCCCCGGGCCCGCCGAAACCCUAGAUCGGGUCCGGCCCCUGCUCGCCGCGCCUUCUCGCCGCGCGCAGCACUACCCGCGCAGCGCCUGCCGCGCGCACUGCGCCCGCCGGCGCCUGCUCGCCGCGCGCAUCGCGCCCGCCACGUCCCCACUCCUCUCCUUGGCCGAGCAACCCCGCGCUGCCCAGGCCUCGCGAGAGGGAAAAAAUGGGAGGCCCCGCCGCCGCCGACGCCACGCGGGCUUUGCCCGGCGGCGGCGGCGAGGGGAGGGGGAGAUCUGGGAGGGGGGCUGGAGUGGCGGCUAAGGUUUCGCCCGGGCCGCCCGCGGGGAGGGCGACACGAGCGACCUGCUUUUGCUCACUGAUUUAAGAAACUAUUUGUAGACACUAAUGGUGAGAACAAUAACUGGCUAGUAGCUUUGGCUCAUUCCAAGAGCGGGAUUGAUUAACACCAGAUUAAAUAGUUUUGAAUUGUUUAAAGUGGGUAGAAGUAAAAACUGGUUCCUGUCACCUCAACAUGAGAAAACCAUAUCGAAUAAUAUCGGAGCAGCAUUUUAAAGUGACAGUGAUAUAUAUAAAUAUUUCCCUUAUAAAAAAUAGAAUAGUAGAUGCAGGAGCAUUAGACAUUCAUUCCAACCUGAAACCAAUGUAAACCAAUCUGAUAAUGCUUUGAUUUCCGAAAGUAAAACUGAAAUCAAUCUAGUAAAACUGUCCACACAUGCAGAAUGUACAAUACGAAGGUACAAUUUGAUCCCUUUGAUCACUUCUCAUGGACACAUAUACUUGCUACAACCAGGAAUGUACCAGACAGAACACAGGCACAAAACAGGUCAAGAUGAACUCACGCUGUCGAGGAACGACAGCAGUGGUUUGCGGGUUUCAUAUGGAAAAAACUUGCUGAUAGCACAUUAAGUACUCCCAUCGAAUGUUAAACAAAACACACUACGUCUACCUGAUAAUCUGCAUCCAAUGCACACAAAUAUAUAACCAUCAGAUAGUCCUAGCUGGUAGAUCCGCAUAAACAAAGCAAAAAAAACAACUCUAUCCGCAGCAAAUUAGAUCGGCAAAGUGAUGAGGGAACAUAG